GCUUGUCUCAAAGAUUAAGCCAUGCAUGUCUAAGUACAAGCCUCAGUAAGGUGAAACCGCGAAUGGCUCAUUAAAUCACACCUAAUCUACUGGAAAGUUACUAGUUACUUGGAUAACUGAGGUAAUUCUUGAGCUAAUACAUGCGAAAAAUCUCGACUCACGGAGAGAUGCUUUUAUUAGAUCAAAACCAAUGCCCUUCGGGGCUCUUUGGUGAUUCAUGAUAACUUCUCAGAUCGCACGGCCUUGCGCCGGCGACGGUUCAUUCAAAUUUCUGCCCUAUCAACUUUCGAUGGUACGGUAUUGGCCUACCAUGGUUUCAACGGGUAACAGGGAAUUAGGGUUCGAUUCUGGAGAGCGAGCCUGAGAGACGGCUAGCACAUCCAAGGAAGGCAGCAGG
rnacentral:rRNA from 1 species